GAAAAUGCCAAAUGGGAGUCACAGAGUCAGACUUGACUGAAAACAACUGAACAGCAAAGUGGGAGAUUAGAAAAGGUCUUCAGUAUGAGGUGGCAGGAGAUGAUUUCUAAAGGAAGAAAAGGAAGUGGUACCAUUUCAAGCAGAAGAAAUGCUGACCAGAGCCAGAGGUUGAGAGAAGCAGAGAAAUAAGUAUUUCUGAGGAAUAAAGAACAAAGACGAUGAGGCACUGCAGCUGAGCACUUCCACAUAUCCAAUGAUACCAUUGUGCUGAAAUGAGAUAUAAAUUGCAGUAGCAUCACUUAAUGUGUGACCUUGGAAACAACAAACAGUAAUAUGACAGACCAAGUUUUUAAAAAGCAUCUUUGAGAUCAUCACAGCAUUUGGACAUAGAACUUAGAAAGCUGUUUGGUUCAGGUAGCGACCCCAUCAAAGAGCUGAAGCCUGAAAACCAAAGACAAGUGGAAAGGACUUUACAGAAGUAUAGUUGCUGUCCAAGAUUUCAAAUGUCACAUCAGUAGGAAUAUAAUUCAUUGCAAUAAUCAUGAUGGUGUUGAAUGGAAUGCUUGUAAAUCUAGCCUUCUGAUCAUAAGAGA